rnacentral:lncRNA from 1 species
GGGAAUGAUCCAUAGCAUCUAUAUGCUAUGGAAUAAAAAAUGGCAUAUCGCAUCUUAACCAUCUGUGUAAUUAAUGAAGGGCUGAAAUUUGUUUUGGGUUAACACCGUCCGCUAGUAAUUCUAGCGGACGUAUUAAGUAUGAUUUCUGGACAUUUAUGUCCCCCUAAUUAGCCCCAACAAAUACAGAAACUACACAAUCCACUAGAUUCUAGCGGAUGGAUAAUUACCUCAAAACAAUUGGGGGAAAAUCGACAAAGGUUAAACAACACAGGGGCAUUCAUAGACUUGAGAUUAAUUUUCCAAAUCAGAGUACAUCUAAUUCACGUUAUCCCAAAGCUCUUUGGCCGUGGAAUAACACAUAUAGUUGGAGCUAAUUUGCUCUUCCAUUGAGUUCACAAGCCAGGUCAUCACCAUCGAGUUUUUUGCAUCCCGGAUCGCAUAUGCAUGUUCCUCCGGUGUCGACGCUUUCUUAUUUCCUGUUAGGUACCCAAUUUUUUCUCUUCCUCUGAUAUACAUCCGUAUAGACCGGGACCAUCGUAAAAAAUUAUCGCCAUUAAGGCGUAUGGUAGUGAUUUAAACUGAGUGGGAAUCAGUAUUGGGUGUUUGGACAGUAGGAUUGGUUGACAGAGUGUUUGGCUGAGUUGCAGCAGGUGCGGUAGAAGUAGAGGACUUGUUAGACAUGGCAGCUUAGCGGAAGAAGGAAGAGGAAAAUAUGCAGAAACAAAUAGGUUGAUUUUUCUCUUUGAAUUUUUUUAGGGUUGCUUUGAUUCCAUGUGAAAUGAAAGAGAGAAACUUUUUCUUAUUUCUCGAAGGUUUUACACAGACUCUUCUUAUAGAAGAGAAUACAAGCACAAAAUCAGUGUAAUGUCUGUCUAUUUGGCUUGGCUAAGGUGGGAAACACAAGGGCAUAAAUGUUCAGAAAUCAUACUUAAUCCGUCCGCUAGAAAUACUAGCCUAGCGGACGGUGUUAACCCAAAACAUAUGUCAGCCUUUCAUUAAUUACACGGAUAGUUAAGAUGUAAUAUGCCAC